AAGACAGCCUAUCUUGAUAUUUGUGAUGACACAAGCUAUGCAACACGAGCAAAGUCCUAUAUGAAUAUGGCACUGGAAGCCAAUAUUCCUGCCAUAACUACUGCUGGAAUCUACCCAGGAGUGAGCAACGUGAUGGCAGCAGAGCUUGUUCGCACUGCAAAACUUGAAAGCGAGGGUGAACUAGAGAGGCUUAGAUUCUACUACUAUACUGCUGGCACUGGUGGUGCUGGACCUACUAUUUUAGCUACUAGUUUUUUGCUUCUUGGAGAGGAUGUAAUUGCAUAUAAUAAAG
rnacentral:misc_RNA from 1 species